UCCAGACUCCUACGGGAGGCAGCAGUGAGGAAUAUUGGUCAAUGGGCGGAAGCCUGAACCAGCCAAGUCGCGUGAGGGAAUAAGGCCCUACGGGUCGUAAACCUCUUUUGCCGGGGAGCAAGGGCGGGGACGUGUCCCGGCCCGGAGAGUACCCGGAGAAAAAGCAUCGGCUAACUCCGUGCCGGCAGCCGCGGUAAUACGGAGGAUGCGAGCGUUAUCCGGAUUUAUUGGGUUUAAAGGGUGCGUAGGCGGGCUUUUAAGUCAGCGGUAAAAAUUCGGGGCUCAACCCCAUCCAGCCGUUGAAACUGGGGAUCUAGAGUGUGCGAGAGGUAUGCGGAAUGCGUGGUGUAGCGGUGAAAUGCAUAGAUAUCACGCAGAACCCCGAUUGCGAAGGCAGCAUACCGGUGCACAACUGACGCUCAGGCACGAAAGCGUGGGUAUCGAACAGGAUUAGAUACCCCAGUAA
rnacentral:rRNA from 1 species